GGCACGAUGGCUGAGUGGUUAAAGCGUGAGACUCGAAGUUUCCUAGCAAACUAGGCAAGGAGAAGAUAUCUCAUACCUUCGGGUGCGCAGGUUCAAGUCCUGCUCGUGUCG